UCAAGAUCAAGUCACCAGAGAAAAUUUUCACAAAUCCAAUCUAAGUUUCAGCAGCAUUUCAAUAACGAGGUAAAAACCUUCCAAGAGUUAAAUUACACAGCACAGCUUCACAUUUCUAUGACCUAUUUAUCUAAGGUAGUUAUUUUAGUGGCACCGUAUAGGCACAAGGACCCCAUUAGAAAGUGCAUCAUAUUAAAUACAUGAUCGAUCUCUCAUGUGUCAUUGCUAUACCAAGUAAAAUCUGUACAAGGUAACAAUAUCAUCAAGAGUGGUAUCCACUCCCUCAAAAGUAAACAUAAAGCAAGCAGCAUUUAAUAUACACAUUUCCAGCAAAAUUUCAGUUAUGUUGAAGAAAAAUGCUCUGUUUAGUUCUCUCUUCUUCAAAACUUCCCAAGAACACUCUUUACAUGACGUUAUGCACCAAAAUGGUUCUACAUAAUGCGCCACCAUAACAAACAAUGUGCUAGAGUGGGAUUUGCAAUAGGGUUGAUCCUCGUUUAUCCUUGCCUCCUUAAAGCUCCAUAAUUCCUUGUUACCCGAGGUUGAGACUUAUUUAAUCUUUUUGCCAAAUCUUCAUCAUCAUCAUCAUCCUUCCACAUAUGCAUUCUUUGAAUUGCUGAGUUGUCCAAUUUCUUUCCCCGCUUUGUGGUUGUGGCUCCUCUUCCUCUUCCACCAGGAGCAGCUCUUUUGCGCCCUUUGCCUCGAACACUUUUACCAUCAUCCUUUAAAAGACACACCAAAUUUGAUUACUAUCUAUGCAGCCAAUAUCAUGUUAGCCCAGUCAACUCAUAGAAAAUGAAGUCAGAUUUUCUACUAACUGGCCAAUAAUGUAAUAGAUAAUAAAAGUAAUCCAAAUUGAAGGUUUUCCCUAAAUAAGGUCUCACUCUUAACCAGUAAACUUAUGCCACAGGUAAAGGGUUAACAAAAACAGGUGCAUGCAUGUGCAUGUCAAUGGGUAACUUGCCAUAGCCAAGACUUCAAUUCAGAGGUACUAUAAUUCGCAGAUGCUCUUCCUUUUUCAGGACCAAUCUAUGUUCUUUCUUUUAUCAGAAAGGUGUAUUUCUUGAUGACAUCCGGUUUUAUAUUUCACACUACCACCAGUAUCAUAUCUUCACGGCAAUAGCCAAUAACCUACCUUAAACUGAAUUAUUGAAUAGAAAAAUGAAGAACCCCAAAAGUGGUAUGUUGCAAAAAUUAUGGAAUAGAAGUCCAUACCGAACUAUCGUCAACCUCAUUGAUUUUAUUAUUCUCAGCAUCUUCACUAGAAGCAGAAUCUACAUUUUCCACCUCAUCAGCAACACUUCUAACUGCAGCUGUUGCAGCAACCGAGACUGAUCUUUGAGAUUGGCGAAACCCAAGAGUUGCAUCAAGAGUUGUUUGCUUCAAGUUACUUGAGCCUCUGCCUCUGCCCCUACCUCUUCCUCUUGAAGCUCUACCUUUACCAGCUUCUGAAGCAUCAUGAGAAGGCCUAGAAACUACUUUUGAACCUUUCUGGUUUCUACCCGAGGCCCUUGAACCAGAUAUCUGUCCUGUGUCUUCCUCAUCACUGAAAGAAACUGCACUUCCAAUUCCUGCAGCACUUGUGCUUUUGAUAUGCUCUGUGGGCUGUGCACUAGAUGUGAAUUGUGGAGCAUCCUUAGAGAGCAUAGACCUUUCCUUGACACGUUCCUCCAAACAAUCUCCAACUUUGAGAAUUAUAUCCUCCUCUUCAAACUUUGUGGUAUCUGAAUCCUUUGCAAUUUUAUUACGUGUUUCUUGAAUAUUGUAUUGCACACAAGAAUAGAAUGCCAUUUUGUCAUCUUUAUUAAUAAAAUUGUGCAGUGCAACAUCCAAAUCACUGACUGGAAGAAUUUCCAUUUUCAGGUUGCUUUCAGCGACCAAAGCUUCUAUAUUUUGCUGAUUUAGCUCUUCUGGGCGAAGACGUUCAGAAUCGUCAAUUUUAGCUUGGCCCUGACACUUCCUAGAAGCCUUUGAGAAUAUAAGAAUAUCUUGAGGAUUUGCAACCUUCCCCACAUACUUCUGUCCAAAUCGUUGAGGAUUUAUUGUCAUAAAUCCAGAGUAAUCUACCUUUAGUCGAACUAAUGGAAGCUUAAGCUCUGAUCUGGUAACUGCCUUGCUAUUAGAUUUCUCUAUCAGAUUACUGACCACUUUAUCCAAAUGUUCAAGAAUUGAGCUCUGAUCAUUGGGAUCAAUGUCAGGUUCAUCCUUUAACACAACCUCUGCAUAUUCAAAAGGUCUCACUGAAGUCAAAGGUAUCUUGGUUGGGCGAUAUUGAUUUCCCUUAAUUUCUAGAAGCAGCACAUGCUUUGGUUUUGAUUCUCCAUCAAUUAGUGAUGUUGCAACUGAAGAACCAGGUUGAGUGAUAUGAAAUCCCAUCCCAGGAAUUUCCUGCGGAUCAAUAAGACAUUCAUGCUCAUGUCCCCACACUAUGAAGUCCAGGAAUCUUGGUAGAAAAUGCUCAUUUAUUGCAUUCUUUGGAUUUGUCUUCACUCUGCAGAUUACAAUAGGAGAAAAAAUUUGAAAUUCACAUACAUUAAUAUAUUAAGAUAUAACUACAAGAGUAUGUUAAUGUGAAAAGACACCAGGUUAGAUGAUUUCUCAAAUUUCUCUCUUUCAUUUUCAAGCAAGAUUCAAUGCAAUCUUUGAAAUAAAAGUGGCAAAACAUAUGCAAACAGACUCUCACUCAUACAAACACAUACUACCGCUAACACAACCUGUUCUGAUGAAGCACCAGAAUGUUGAACCAAUCAGACAGUUGACACCCUUCUUGAGAUUCAGGUCUCAUCCAUUGCACAGCAUGUGGUGUCUGAAACAUUCUGUUGAGUCGCUCAUCCCUAAUAUUCCCAAGACCAUACAGAGCCACAGCUGUUGAACCCUUCCUAAUAAGGAUAGGGUAGAGUGUGAUCUGACCAACACCGGAACCCUCAAGAACCAUUUUGCCAAAAUAGUUCACAAGAUUGCAUGCUGAAAGAAUAUCAACUGCUGAAAGGUUGUCCACUCCAGCAGGAUCAUCAUGAUUUCCAUGGAUGCUGAACACUGGCAAACCAACAUUGAAGUGGGGGUCUUCAUAAUUUACAUGGCCAAAUGUAUUUGCAAAAUUUACAGUCUGGUCACUAACAACUUGAAACUGCACUGGUCUAUCAUUGAGACAAUGACAGCGGAGAAUCUCAAUGGCCUUGACUAAGGUUGACCUUGAGGGCUUAUUUUCAUGGAAAAGAUCACCACCAAGGAGCAAGAAGUCCACCUGCUUUUGCUCUGCUAUUGAGCAUAUCUCUUCGAAUGCCUGGAAAGAAUCAUGUCGUCGUAUUUCAUCCUUCUCCAUAUAGCCCAGGUGGCAAUCAGUUGCAACAAGUAUCCGAAGUGUAUUUGUAAUAUCCUCCCUUGGAGUGUCUACCAUGAUAGCGAAAUUGCAACUCUUCAAAUCCUCAACCAGGAGCAAGCAAAAGCGCAGCAAUGCAAAGUUAAAAAUCAAAAUUACACACUUUCAGAUUGUGGAAUUGGAGAGAAGAGUACGUUUUCCACCGUAGGAAGCACGAGGUCAAAAGCAAAGAGAGAGGAGACUCUGAGUGAAGAGGGAAGGGGUUUCAGGUGGCGGGCAAUUUCAAAGAGCCAGGAACUGGGAAGCUAAAAUGGGGGAAAAUGGGAUUUUUCAUGGGGUGGC
rnacentral:misc_RNA from 1 species